rnacentral:lncRNA from 1 species
UUGACCUUGAAGAGAUUGUGGGAGAUGGGAGGAGGACGGGCAUGUGGGGAAAGAGCAGCUGGCAUUGUGACCAGCCUAGAAUCUGGGGCCCCGGGCAGGAGAUGGGCCACAUUCCCGCCCGGAGGUGAUGGAUUAAGGUGGGGCCUGUGGGAAUUCGGAGGAGGAGGAGGUAGUCAGAGAGCCCCUUUGGCUUGGAGACAGGACAUGGGGGAGAGAAGGUGCUGACAUCUUGAGCCUUAAUGAUUGACAGAAACAGAAAAGUCAGGGUUCAGACUUGUUCGGGGAGUCAUGCUUGCUUUGCUUUUUUAGACGGGUUGCCAUCAAGACAAUGGCAGGGUAUCUGGAUGGAAACGUUACAGUCAGGCAGGUAAAGUUUGCCGUGGACCUGGGCGCUGGGAGGAGAUCUGGAGGAGACUACUGCCGGACCAGUUUCUGCUAAUGAGCACCCACGUCUUCCCCCCACCCACACCCCGUUCUGAAGCUGAGGUUUCUGUUUAGGUCUUCUUCUCCCUGGUAACGACCUUUGGGAGGGGAUGUCCUGGAAAGAUAGAGCCACACACUUAACCGCUCCGAGCUCUCGGUCUUGACCUUGGUGCUAUCAUUUGCUUAUCAGUUCCUGAGCGGUCGGAGACGUGCUGUCGCGACACAUGCCCUGGGUCCUCAGCCUCCACCAGCAAGGCUGCUUGUUCUGAUGCCUUUCCAGUCAUCUUUCUAGAGGAAAAAGAGCACUGCCCAGAAUCAGGAAGCCUUGGGCAGCUACAUGAUCCCGGGCAAGUGGCUGCUUUUUCCAAGCCUUCGUGCCUGGCCGAAGAUGCGCAUUUCUUCCCCUUUUCCCAGGUCUCUGCGGCAGACUAGGCUUUUGAAGCUAGCAGCCCCGCUCGUGGGAGGGAAUAGCAGGAAUGGGGGUCCCCCGAGCACACCCCGCUCUCCAGAGUGGGUAGCAGCCUCCCAGAGGGAGGGUGGCCUCCGUUCCUCUUGGGAGCUUGGACAUACUAGACGAGUAGGUUGUCCCAGGGACCAGGAGUUGGCAGACGGUAGCCCAUGGGCUGGCCGCCUUCUUUGGUAAAUAAAGUUUUAUUGGGACAGAGAUGCGUACACUGUUUGUCGUGUCGUCUGUGGCCGCUGGAGGUGGCACGACCUACAAGCCGAAAGGAUUUACUGGCUCACCUUUCGAGAAAGAAAUGGCCAACCCUGGCCCUAGACCACCAGGAAAGAGCUCGGACCUCCACUGGGGAUGCUCGUGAGGCCGUUUCGGCUUCCUAGGGCUCUUGCAGCUUCUGCCUCGGGGGCCUUCCUUUGCGAUCCCAAGCAAGGAUGACGUGGCAGUUUUUAGAGUCAGCCCACAGAGAGUAGUGCGGCCGCUGGGAAGUCUGCUGCGUUUUCGUCCCUGUCCCUGCAGCCUGGAGGGCGUCCAUUCCAGCCCUCUCCCCUCUCCCCACCCACACACUCGAACUUCUUCGUGUCCGGGACCCUGAAUUCGUCACUGGGGAUGGCUCGUGGCCUUGGGGCGACAAGCUGCCCUUCCUCUUCUUCCCAGGCCAUGCGGGGGAGAACGGACCAACCCAAACCCAGUGUCUGGUGAGGAGAAGGGGCGCCUCACUGGUUCUGCCAAGUCCCGCAGCACGUGUCCCUUGAUAGCUUUGCUGUGUCACUUCCGGCUUCACUGUGCCCUUUAGUUCCAAGGCCCUGGAGAUGCGCCUGCAAAGAGGGUUUGUCUGCCUGAACUUGGCACUCCUCCACGGUCGGAACCAGGCCCCGUGGCUUGGGGUUUGGGGAGUGUGUGUCUGUGUUGGCAGGGGCUGGAGUUGGCACUCAGGAGCCCUGCGUCAGCCCUUACCGAGUCCCCUUGUGUUCUGGUUCCCACCUGGUUUGAUGUGGUCCUCAAACUGGAGUCUCAGUGAAACUCCUGGCUGGGAGCAGGGUGAAUUUCAAGAUCUUGCUUUUACAAAACAGAAGCACCAGAGCAGAUGGGUCACUUCAGCUCAGGGCUGAGAUAGGAAGUGAGACACUGGUGGCAAGAGGAACCCGCGUGCUCAGAGCAGUAUGGGGGGGGGGGCGCAGAUGACUGAGGUUUAUUCCCAUUGCAGCUGGAAGGGAGGAGGCUGGCAGUGGGAGGAGGGAGCAGACGACCCAGAAUAGCAAAGAAGACAGAAGCUCAGCACACCCAGAGCUGCUUUUAGCUGGGCCUGGUAAGCCUGGCUCUAGGAGCCUUACUUCUCACCUCCCUACACACAUUUUUCCCAGAGGCCAGGUUUCUGAGUGUUCUCAUAAAAAAAAAAAAAAAAAAAAAAAAAA